AGUUGAAUUGGUUGUAACAGAGAAAGAGUGACAUAUAAGAUGUGUAAAUACAUUGAUACUAAAUAUGUGCAAUCAUCAAUUGAAUAGAAUAAUAAAAUUCUCCUUCUUACUCUAUUUCUCUCUUCUUCUUCUUCCCUGUUUUCAUGCUCAGUUAUGGCUUUGCCAUAACGGGUGAUAUGUCCGUCAGGAAAAUAUAUAGAUUUAAGGUCUUUUUGGUUUAACUGUUAGAUGCAGUUAAUAACUAAUAACUGGUAGCUGUUGUUGUUAAUUGAUGGUUGAUGGCUAAUAGCUGGUGGUAGUUGAUUUAUGUUAGGUGUUUGAUAAAACUUUGUCUAACUACUAUUGAUGUGUAAAAUGACUAAUAAGAAUAUAUAUCAUAUAAUUUAUUUUAU
rnacentral:misc_RNA from 1 species